UUCAUAUAAAAUUUAAACUUGUGGGCAAAAUCAACUUAGUUCAAAAUUGGAAAAUACUUUUUCUAUACUGUUAUCUUUUGUCGAAUCUGUUGGAAAACUUGUGAUCUAGUUGCAUGGAAGCGAGCUAAAGCUUUACUCGAUAUAGUAUUACUCUAGGCAAAAAGAGCGUUCAAUUGGAGUCAAACAACAAUAGAAAAGGCUACCUGUUUCGGACCGGACUGAAAAUCUAUGUUAAUGGCAAAGGGAAGUACACCGUUCUGAUAACGGGACUUAGACCUGCAAAAAGCAAGGACCAAAAUGAGGCCAACAUCACUUGCCAGUAACAACAAUGAAAUAUUUCAGCUCAACAGUUCUCUAGAAGGUAUCGUGACUUGCUCGCUUCUACAGGUUUAGUCAGGCGCAGACUUCACCGCUGCCAUCAACUUGUGAAGGACCAGGCCGUUGAUCGGAAACCUACAAUAUAUCAGCCGGCGGCUAGGGGUGAAUGGAUUAACUCACAUGGAAGGACCUCGGUUCGGUAGACGACUGUCAGCAGUGAUAGGAGUUAUUUCUAACCUAUCUGGGCGGUCAGCACUACCUAGCAAUAGAGACAAGCACUUCUGCUAGGGUUCGGACAAAUUGAGCGCGGGUUGUGAUGUGAGCCAGAGAACCUCUAACAGGGCUCACAAGGCGCUGUCCUCGACUUCAAAGGAACGAGCAGGAGCGGAUGUGCCUACACUAAGAAAGGCGAAAAGAAAGGUCUAUUGCAGUAUAGUGUAACGCUACAAGGCGCCUGAUGUAGGGGCAGCCUGGUGGGGCCUGCGAUUGCCCUAAAGUGUUGGGGUCUUACCCCCUGGUACGGUUAGUAAGUGGGGCGGGGCUGUUUCGUGCUGACGGUUGCAUCAGUGUGAUCCGACCAGGCCAUGCGUGCCUUCUUCUGCCAUAAAUAGAGAGAUUUCACUGGCUCGAUCAACUAGCUACCCUAUCCUGUGACCUACCAAAUGAA